rnacentral:rRNA from 1 species
UACAGAGGUCUCAAGCGUUGUUCGGAUUCAUUGGGCGUAAAAGGGUGCGUAGGCGGCGCGGUAAGUCGGGUGUGAAAUCUCGGAGCUUAACUCCGAAACUGCAUUCGAUACUGCCGUGCUUGAGGACUGGAGAGGAGACUGGAAUUUACGGUGUAGCGGUGAAAUGCGUAGAUAUCGUAAGGAAGACCAGUGGCGAAGGCGGCGACCUGGGUAGAUACUGACGCUGAGGCGCGAAAGCGUGGGAGCAAC